rnacentral:rRNA from 1 species
AACGAACGCUGGCGGCAUGCCCAACACAUGCAAGUCGAACGAGAUCUUCGGGUCUAGUGGCGCACGGGUGCGUAACGCGUGGGAAUCUGCCCUUUGGUUCGGAAUAACAGUUGGAAACGACUGCUAAUACCGGAUGAUGACGAAAGUCCAAAGCUUUAUCGCCAGAGGAUGAGCCCGCGUAGGAUUAGCUAGUUGGUGUGGUAAAGGCGCACCAAGGCGACGAGCCUUAGCUGGUCUGAGAGGAUGACCAGCCACACUGGGACUGAGACACGGCCCAGACUCCUACGGGAGGCAGCAGUGGGGAAUAUUGGACAAUGGGCGAAAGCCUGAUCCAGCAAUGCCGCGUGAGUGAUGAAGGCCUUAGGGUUGUAAAGCUCUUUUACCCGGGAUGAUAAUGACAGUACCGGGAGAAUAAGCUCCGGCUAACUCCGUGCCAGCAGCCGCCGUAAGAC